UGGGAGUUCAGUUUUAUUUGCCCCCAUCCGCUAGGUUUGAUGAGCAGAAUUAAACUGUGAUCAUGGACCGGUUCCCCUGUAUUAUAUAAAUGGCAUUAUCCAACAACUCAGAGGAACAGCUGGUGGAUAUGUCCCCACUCGCAGCAUAUCAGGUGGACACUAGCAAAGGACUUUGUUGUCCCGUGUCCCGUCCCCCCUCUGUAAAUAAAAUUCUGAUUGGGUGAUAUUCUAUUUUUUGUAAUUUGUUUUUUAAGGGCCAGCUGACACAAUUUCUGGCCCUUGCAUCUCCAAUGGUUUUUAACGAUUUGCAGCGUCUGCACUGCAAACUGACAAAUGGUCCAGAUCUCUUUCAUUGGGUUCCAGAUUUCAGUCAUCUUCCAGUAUCAGGACAGGCUGAAAUCGGGAUGUUGGAUUAUAAAAUAUUGACAAUGCAUUGAAUACCUCUGGUUCCCCUGUAGAUGUUUGCUAGUCAGUACUCUAGGUUUAGUGAGUUAACCCUCAACGAGUAGUGU